UUAAGGGUUUGAUGUCUGUUUUGUUGAUGUAGAUUACGUUGAGGGGUGCAACAAAAUCAAAAGAUUAAGGGUUUGAUGCCUGUUUUGUUGAUGUAGAUUACGUUGAGGGGUGCAACAAAAUCAUACUUAAGAACAGUGGAAAACUCUUACAUUGACAGCUCUGACGAGGGGAACCAAGUGGAGGAGGAUAUAAAGAAGGGGAUUGAGAAGAAGAAGGUGGAAAAGAGGGCAGAAGAAAAUGGAAGAUGAAUUACAGAGGAGGAGAAGAACAAGUAGAAGUUGGUUCGUUUUCUAAUAAUUGUUUCUUAAUCGAAUUAGAGUUGAAUAACAUGCUCCCAAAGGAUUUGCUAAGUAUCUUGUCUUUUGAUUUUGUUUAAUUUUGGGCUUAAUUUUACUGUACUCAAUUGAUUUUCCUUUUUAGGUCUGUUUAGGUUAUGUAUUUUAAGAGACUCUGGGUAUGGAAUUUUUGUACUGAAGUAAUAAUUUCUGCUGGAUGAAGAUGCAUCGAUCACUCAUAUCUCUUUGUAGGAUGCAGUUAAUUGAAGGCGAAAUGAACCAAGAAAUAAUUUCUUAUGAUGAAGGAUGCUUCCCCAAUGAUGAAAUGAUGUUAAUCCCAGUAAUUUGGAUUCUUUGCACUUGGAGAAUGAGCAGAGUGCCCUCUUUGCUACGAUGGUUUUGCAGUUC